UAAGGAAUAUUGCUCAAUGGGAGAAAUCCUGAAGCAGCAACGCCGCGUGGAGGAUGAAGGGUCUAUGACUUGUAAACUCCUGUAAAGAAGGAAAAAAUUCCCAUUUGAUGGGAGAUGAUGGUACUUCUGGAGUAAGCCCCGGCUAACUACGUGCCAGCAGCCGCGGUAAUACGUAGGGGGCAAGCGUUGUCCGGAUUUACUGGGUGUAAAGGGUGCUCAGGCGGAUUUGUAAGUCAGAGGUGAAAUCUUACAGCUUGACUGUGAAACUGCCUUUGAUACUGCAAGCCUAGAGUAUGGAAGAGAGUGAUGGAAUAUCUGGUGUAGCAGUGAAAUGCGUAGAUAUCAGAUAGAACACCAAUGGCGAAGGCAGUCACUUGGUCCAUUACUGACGCUAAAGCACGAAAGCGUGGGUAGCAAAC
rnacentral:rRNA from 1 species